UACAGAGGUCCCAAGCGUUGUUCGGAUUCACUGGGCGAAAGGGUGCGUAGGUGGCGAGGUAAGUCGGAUGUGAAAGCUCGGGAGCUCAACUCCGAAAUGGCAUUGGAAACUACCUUGCUCGAGGGUUGGAGGGGGGACUGGGAAUUCUCGGUGUAGCAGUGAAAUCGUAGAUAUCGAGAGGAACACCAGUGGCGAAGGCGAGUCCCUGGACAACUCCUGACACUGAGGCACGAAAGCUAGGGGAGCAAACAGG
rnacentral:rRNA from 1 species